rnacentral:rRNA from 1 species
UACGGGGGGGGCGAGCGUUGUUCGGAAUUACUGGGCGUAAAGGGCGCGUAGGCGGUGCGGUAAGUCACCUGUGAAACCUCUAGGCUUAACCUAGAGCCUGCAGGCGAAACUGCCGUGCUGGAGUGUGGGAGAGGUGCGUGGAAUUCCCGGUGUAGCGGUGAAAUGCGUAGAUAUCAGGAGGAACACCGGUGGCGAAGGCGCACAUCUGGCCCGAUACUGACGCUGAGGCGCGAAAGCUAGGGGAGCAAACAGG